rnacentral:lncRNA from 1 species
GUGACACCUUUAGUUCUCAAAUUUUGAUUUGCAAUAAUCUUUUAUUUGAAUUUUUAGAAUUACUAUAACCAAGUCUUGUAACACAAUUUAGCUCACUAAAUACUGAAAUAUCGCUAAUAUAGAGGCAAUGUAAUAGCGUUGUGAUUGAUGAUGCAUUAACGAUCUAUUUAUUAGAUAUAUAAUUUGACAUUUGGGUCACAUCAAAAGCCAUGAGAGUGACAUAUGUCCUCCUCUCUUUGCCUUCUUCACUUUAACAAUAUAUAUUGCAUGCAUCCGGUCUAUGAAAAUAUCAUAUACACAAAAUUUAUUUUUUAAUUAUUAAAUUUUAAAAUCUAUAAGAUAUAUAAUCUAUCUAUUAGAUAUCUAUAGAUAUCUAUCUAUACUCU